UACGUAGGGGGCAAGCGUUGUUCGGAAUUACUGGGCGUAAAGGGCGCGUAGGCGGCCUUCUAAGUCGGACGUGAAAGCCCCAGGCUUAACCUGGGAACUGCGUCCGAUACUGGGAGGCUUGGAUUCGGGAGAGGGAUGUGGAAUUCCAGGUGUAGCGGUGAAAUGCGUAGAUAUCUGGAGGAACACCGGUGGCGAAGGCGGCAUCCUGGACCGAGAUCGACGCUGAGGCGCGAAAGCUAGGGGAGCAAACGGG
rnacentral:rRNA from 1 species